rnacentral:lncRNA from 1 species
UUUUUUUGUUUUGUUUUUGUUUUUGUUUUUGUUUUGUUUUUUUAGUUGUAGGUCGCAGCGGGGAAAUUUUUUGCGACUGUACACAUAGCUGCAGCAUUAAAAACUAAAAAAAAAAAUUGUUAAAAAAAGAAAAAAAGGGAAAACAUUUCAAAAAAAAAAAGAUAAACAGUUACACCUUGUUUUCAAUGUGUGGCUGAGUGCCUCGAUUUUUUCAUGUUUUUGGUGUAUUUCUGAUUUGUAGAAGUGUCCAAACAGGUUGUGUGCUGGAGUUCCUUCAAGACAAAACAAACCCAGCUUGGUCUAGGCCAUUACCUGUUUCCCAUCUGUAGUUACUCGAUGAAGUCAUGUACAUGACCGUUCUGUAGCAAUAAAUGUGCCAUUUUUAUAAACUGUUUCUGACACUUGUUUCAUUUCAUUUUGCAUUGUCCAUAUAGCUCUGAUUCUCUUCUGUCGGUAAAACCACAUCUAUAUUUCAUUUACCAAGUGUUGGAGGUAUUGACAGCUUAACAAACAAAACAUACAAAAAAAUUUACAGAAACAAAUUGAAAAGCAAAGCACAUGAUUGACCAAGGAGGAGAUGCCCUUAAUGAAAAUGGAACGGGAUGCAUGCAAAACAAAAAGAAAACUGUCUUAGAGGAUUAAAUUAAUUGAAGGAAUAGAAUUAAUGUGCGUGUCACACUGAAGCUAUGCAUUUGAAGAGCUCUGAACUGCGCCAGCGUUUUCGGCUCUGCUGCAGCUUUGCUAAGUCAGGUCAGCCUUAACCAUUCGGAUCAGUUGGUCGACUUUGGCAGAACCUUCUCAGCUAGAUCCUUUCAGUUAAAAAUCUAAGAUGAUUUAUUUUGUAUCACUUUGUGAAGAGCUGGAUAUUGUCAACCACAAGUAAUAUGACACUGUAUUUAUAAAUUUCUCAAACUAUGCCCACCCCACCACUUCUGGUUGACUCUGUUGACUCUUAAUCCAGAUGUAAACAACCAGAUGUGUUUUUUUUCCCUAAACUUGUACAAAUGGACGCGUGUCACCUAUGAUGGGAGGAAAAAAAAUGUACAGAUUAAAAUUAUUCAGUGUUAUGUACUGUAAGUUAAUAUUUUUGUAGAAUGGACAUCAGUCUACUUGGCAAGACUUGGAGGCUGUUUCAACAUUGCAUUGUAGAAAUGUAAAGUAAUGUAUGCAAUGGAAAGGAAAGCCUGUGGUAGAUGAGCACUUCGUAACAGAAUGUUCUAAACGAGUACGUGGUUUUGGGGAUGUCUCCAUAUUGCUCUUGUAUUCUUUCUAAUGGAGUUUAGUGACUAGUUUACCUGAAGGAAACUGUUAUAAUGCCAUUUGGUUCACAUGUGAAGUGCCCUCCAUAGCCAAAUGUUGGGAUUUUUUUUUUUCUUUUUGGUUGGACUGUUUGCAGAUAUUUAAAUUUUAUGAACUUUCCAAAGAUUUUGGUUGAUAACCCCUUUUUUCUUCCAAAUGAUUUGAGAUGUUCUUAUGUUCUUACUGUGUGUUUUAAAUAUAUAUAAAAGAGCCACAAGCA